AAAGGAAUAGACGGGGACCCGCACAAGCAGCGGAGCAUGUGGUUUAAUUCGAAGCAACGCGAAGAACCUUACCAGGGCUUGACAUGCCACUGACCGGUCUAGAGAUAGAUCUUUACCUUCGGGUACAGUGGACACAGGUGGUGCAUGGUUGUCGUCAGCUCGUGUCGUGAGAUGUUGGGUUAAGUCCCGCAACGAGCGCAACCCUUGCCUUUAGUUGCCAUCAUUAAGUUGGGCACUCUAGAGGGACUGCCGAUGACAAAUCGGAGGAAGGUGGGGAUGACGUCAAAUCAUCAUGCCCUUUAUGUCCUGGGCUACACACGUGCUACAAUGGUCGGUACAACGAGGAGCUACACAGCGAUGUGAUGCAAAUCUCUAAAAGCCGAUCCCAGUUCGGAUUGUAGGCUGCAACUCGCCUACAUGAAGUCGGAGUUGCUAGUAAUCGCGAAUCAGAACGUCGCGGUGAAUGCGUUCCCGGGUCUUGCACACACCGCCCGU
rnacentral:rRNA from 1 species